UUUACUGUAGGUGAAUGCCAAGAAAUAGUUAUAGUUGGACAAAAGCAAGGGCCUGCAGCAAGAUCUACUGCUUUCCAGACAAACCCAGGAUAACAAUGCCCCUUUGUAACUUACUAAAGGAGGAGUUACAUUUGUGGCACUCAAGACAAUGAUAAAUGGUGGAGGUCUACUGAAAUACUGGCUUGCCCUUGACCUCAUUAACCCAGCCAUUCAUCCCAUUAACACCUAGGGUUGCCUGUGUAAGGGAGGUGAUUGAUGGGCAAUCCGCAAUUCUCUCUAAGUCUUUCCCAGCCAGGCAUCUGGGACUGAGCCAAAACCUACCAAAAUGUCUGAAUAUGUCUUCAUUUGGCUGGUGCUUCUGUUGAACUUUGGCCUGCAAUUCUACCUAGUGCUUUUCUGCCUACUGAAGAGCUGGAGUUAUGAUAGGAGGCUUAAGCAGACACUUAAAAUCCCACCCUCUACAGAGAAGCUCCCAGCAACAGUCGCCUGUUCCAUCACUCAACCUCCGGAGGACUUAAAGAAUGCAAAACCCCCGACAUACAGUCGUUACGACAUGGGAGUGGCCCAA